CCUAUCUACCUCACUCUUACUCGUUACUCACUCACAUUGGCUUCGAUUAGGGGUUAUAAUCCUCGCAAUUUUUUUUGCCGUCCCCGUCGUCCUUCUUUUUCCGCUCAUUUCGCCGGUGAUGUCGCUCGCUCCACAUUCUUCUAUGACGGCAUAGGGUUGUUCCCCUCGAUAGAGAUCGUUUGCAGAUGAGUUUUCUGAGUUGUUUAGCUAUUCUGAUGAUUUUUCUGAAUCGGCCACCGUCAAUGCCUUUUCUGUAUAUGAUUUCUCUGGAUCUACUACGACAGACGCUACUCUGAUAGAGAUCGUUUGUAGAUGAGUUUUCUGAGUUGUUUCGCGAUUAUGAUGAUUUCUCUGAAUCGGCCACUAUCAAUGCCUUUUCUGUAUCUGAUUUCUCUGGAUCUAUUACGACGGACGCUAUCCCAUGGUGGUCCAUAGAUUCGCUACUGAUUCGGAGUUGGGCCUGGAACCAGAGGUCGAAUUCCAGUGUUGCCCUUGUUUGAGCCAAGCGAUCGUUGUUUCAGAUCCCUUCUUCGUCCCCAAGGUAGGAUCGAAGCGGCUCCAUUGAGCUGCUCUUUUACCCGUGGAGUUGUCAUCAACAUGCUUUGUAUAUACUGCCCUCUCGCUGUCGAGCUAUCAGAGUACUAUAUCGGAGGCAAAAUUGAAAAUUAUUUGGGUAAGUGAUUUACUAUCCUACAUGUUGGUUGGUAUGAUCUCUACAGGUGAGGUAUAAUCCGAUAUACUUGUUGCGAAAUCUGUGACAUAGUUGAUUGUCCCUGAUUAUGUGUAUGUGCAAAAAAAUGUGUGGCAAGUAAUUGUUGGUUUUUGGUGUCAAUAGUCUGAGAUGAUGAAAUUGUUAAACCACUGUUGAUUCGAAUCAGUAUGUGCCUUACCGUUGCAUAAAAAAGAUUUUUUUUAGAUUUAUACCUAUUAAAAAGUCAUCGCUCGUUCAACGUGAGCACAAACUCUUAUUGGAUUCAAUACAUUUUUGAGUUUAGGCAUUCAAUGAUCUAUCCAUUGAGAGAAUGCUUUAAUGUUAUCUGUUGUACUUGAUGAUGAUUUUAUAAUUUGAGAGCAAAAUUCUUGUGUCUCUGAAUUACCUCAUUGAUCAUGAACAUGUCCAAUACUAAAAUGAGAUGGCCUGAAAAUAUUUACUACCCACGCUCGGUGAUGAUUUUAUAAUUUUA